UACAGAGGGGGCAAGCGUUGUUCGGAAUUACUGGGCGUAAAGCGCACGUAGGCGGCUUUGCAAGUUAGAGGUGAAAGCCCGGGGCUCAACCCCGGAAUUGCCUUUAAAACUGCAUCGCUAGAAUUGUGGAGAGGUAAGUGGAAUUCCGAGUGUAGAGGUGAAAUUCGUAGAUAUUCGGAAGAACACCAGUGGCGAAGGCGACUUACUGGACACAUAUUGACGCUGAGGUGCGAAAGCGUGGGGAGCAAACAGG
rnacentral:rRNA from 1 species